UACUGAUUAAGAAAAGCUGGGCCAUUGCAACAUCAUUCAAAAAUACAAAAUAUAUCCACUGAAUUAUACUCUUUUUUUUGCUAAUCAACCAAUAUGCAAUCUACACCAGUAUAUUCUCCCAAUCACACAUUCCAGUUUUGUUUAAGAACUUGCAAGAUACUAUUGAAUACCUUCUGAAAGUCUAAAUUUAUCAUAACUGUUGGUUCUACCUUAUUUAUUCUGUUAGUUAUAAUCUCACAAAAAUCUAACAGGCUUUCCACACAACUUGUUAUUCACAUUUUCUUUUGUAUUAUUAUUCACUGUGCUCUUUAACCACCGUCUUAAUAGAUUUUUAGCACUUUACCUAUUACUAAUGUCAAGAUAACUAGUUUGCUGUGAUUUUUCCUCCCCCCUUUCUUAACUAAUGGUAUUAUAUUUGCUACCAUACAGUCUGUGAUAAUCCUUGUGCUGCUGCUUGCGUGCAAUGCAGACUUCAUUGUGCACUUCUGAAAUCACUUCAAUUCAUUUGGAUUUCAUAGCUUGAGCAGCAUCUAUGUCAGUCUUCAGAUUUAUAUCAGACAUUUGAACAAAAGUUCAUUUCUUUGUUGCAUUGCAUUCAAUUCAACCAUUUGACAUGUUUCUGCAUACGACCUUUGGCCAUGACAUUAUUAAUAGAAUGGUCGUGAAAUUGCAUUAUGGAUCCUCAAAGCACAUAAAAAUUAUGGAAUCCCCUAAAGUAAAGGUGGAUUUUGGCUAAUUCAAUCACUGACAAUCUGCUAUCCUGUUUAAAUUGUGCAUAAUCUAUAUGUGGAAGUAUAUCUUUACAUAUCUUUUGAUAGAUUGUUUUGUAGACACUGCCAUUUAGAGGGAGUUCCUGCCCUCAAUAAAAUGUGUUCUCUGGAUUGAUUCUGUUAGUUAUUGUUGAAAGUAGAAACACAAUAAAAAAAAGUCUAAAGCCAAUACACUUGGGCAUAUUAUUGAAAUAUGAAUUAUAUUGUCAACGACCAAUUUUACUGGGAAUUAUGUCAGCUUGCAAAGAUAUUCUUCAUGUUUAGCUAGUUUCUUACAUUAGAAUUAAUAUGCACCACACUGGGUUGAAAUUGAAAGCAGGUGGAACUUAUUACCUCUCAUUGUUACGGAGAUUUAAUGGUCCUCUGCGUUAUACAUUGCUGUGUCUCUUUACUGCCACGAUGCAAGUAGCUUACAGCAGACAUGUGUAAAUUCAGCUAAUUUCGAAUCAUGGGUUUGGUGGAGGCCAUUCAGCCCGCUUGAACUAAUUCCUUCAGUAAAAAAUAUAUCAUGGCUGAUCUAUAUCUGAACUCCUGUUAGUCCUCUUGAUUCCACUCUUCCGAAUAACGUUGCCUCGUCAAUCUCGUUCUGAAAAAUCAAAUUAACCUCAACAUCUGUAUUAAUUGCAACACCUUUUCUCCUUUAAGUACUGAUGGUCGCAUUGUGUUAAGAUCGUAACUGCAUAAGUGUCACCUCAGGAUGUGGGAGCAGCAGUGAGUAUAAUUACACAUAAAAUCCAACAAUAAAACUGAGCAUUUAAAGCAUCGAUUGAACACAGCGAUGCCGAUCUUCUGAGAUCAACCAAGUAAACUGCAAUGUAUGUGUGUGUGUCAAAUCUCCAAUCCCCUGUGUAUAUCAGCUCACGUAUUUCGGGAAAGGUGCCGUCUUGUUUUACACGUUUUCCUUCCCAGAAGUCAGAAUGUUUGCAUGCAGAAUAACACAGAAUCACAUCAGUGUGGCAAGAGGGGUAAAAUGCGGAGAAAUUCGAGGUAAGGGGCUUCACGCACCCUGACGUGAAAAACCGCUCCAAAUGUAACCAUGAAUGAAUGGGUUCAUUAAAUAAAAAAAUCAAUACCGCCAACAGAUUAGACCCAUGCCCUUAAACUUAACUACGGCCAGUCCCGGCCUUAUGAGACUGGUACAGGGAGACUAUAUAGGACGCCUGCUGAGAUAGACAGCUUUAUCAUUUCCCAGGCACGCUGAAUCGAUUGCUAAUAUUAAUCCAGAGCUGGGUAUCCGUUCAUCGUGUUGAAGCUCUCAUUUCCCCAUGAUUUAGACGCUGUCAUGUGAUAGAUGAACUUACUUGAAAUAUCACCGACAUGUGCGGCGCCAGGACCAGGCGUGUACUGAGUAAAAGACGUCUCUAAAUAUCCAUCGCUUAAAAAGAGUACAUCAAGAGUCAAGAGUGUUUUAUUAUUAUAUGUCCCAAGACAGAACAAUGAAAUUCCUACUUGAAGCAGCACAACAGAAAUUCCAGAAAUCCAACAUUUUGGCUGUUGAAGACAUGGCUACCAGUGGUGAACCAAUUAGAAGCACCAUGUGCAAUCGGCCAAACUUGGAGAAUUGUUGGUACUUAUGAGGUUUGUAGGACAGGGAAAGAUUAAAUCCUAACUCAACAUUAAUAUCUUUCUUCUGUUUUCCCAAUGCUACUGCAUUUAAUUGCAGUAUUAUGUGAUUGAAAAUUGUUACUUAUAAUACUUAUUCAAUAAGUGUUAUGUGAUUGAAAAUUGAUAUUUUUGGAGUGAAGCACCUUAAGAAUAUUUACAUGUUGUGUCACAUAAUUCUACGAAUUUGGCUGGACACUUUGAGGAUGUCACUUUGGUGGCCCUGAUGUGAUUUCUGGCAUUAUUCCCCUACAGCAACCUCCAUGGAACAUUGUAACUAAUAAAAUCCACACCACCCUGCUCUUUGUAAGAAUCAUUGGGUCGGAUAGCAGAAAGAGGAAGACACAAACUGCUGGAGUAACUCAAUGGGACAGGCAGCAUCUCUGGAGAGAAGGAAUAUGUGAUUUUUUGGGUUGAGACCCUUCUUCCGACAGAGAUUCUCGACCCAAAAUGUCACCCUUUCAUUCUCUCCAGAGACGCUGCCUACUCCAGCAUUUUGUGUCUAUCUUCGGUUUAAACCAGCAUUUGCCAUUUUUUCCUAAACAGAAAGAGGUAAAUGGUACAUCAUGUCCAUGCUGUCUAUUGCGCUAAUCUCAUUUCCCACUUUAAAUUUGUACUUCUCAAUACAUCUGGUACAACUGAAAUUUGUAACAGUGGCCAAGGACUGAAAUUAAUACAAUGUCCAUUCAGCACAACCUGUGGGGUGCAUUCAAAUCAUUAGGAAUAUAUUGUCAUAUUUACACUGCAUUCCCAGUUCCAUUGCUGAUGGUUGUAUCCACUUUCCGUCAUAGGUUUGUGCGCACGGCAGCAGUCUCUCCUGUACAUGAAAGCCGCACUUCAGUGGCUUGAGCUUGUAAUCCAAAAUGGUACAUCAACACAUUAAUGAUGAAGCAUUGCAACAUUUUUAAUAUGAGACAGUAAAGCAAAGCCCUUUCUGGCCUCUUUGUAAUACAUAAAAUAAAACUAACAUUGUUUGAAAAAGGCCAGGAAGUCCUCCCUCGUACCCUAAUUAACAUAUAUAUCCUGUCCACCCAGGUUAGUUUAUUGUCAUGUAUAAAUGUACGGUGAGGUACAGAUACAAUGAACAUCUUGCUUGUAGCAGCAUUGCGGGCACAUAGACUCAGAAUACAUACAAAGCAUAAAUUAGACAUAAAUGGAACAUUAAUUUAGUUUUAGUCUUAUUGAUACAACAUGGAAAAAGGCUCUUCGACUCACCGCGCCCAUGCAGACCACCUAUCACCCGUUUACACUAGCCAUGUUAUCCCACUUUUCCAUCCACUCUCUACACACUUGGGGCAAUAUACAGUGGCCAAUUAACCUACUAACCCGUUUAUUUUUGGGAUGUGGGAGGAAAUGGAGCACCCGGAGGAAUCCCACACGGUCACAGGGGGAAUGUCCAAACUUCACACAAAGACCACCCCAGGGCGGGAUAAAAUCCAGGUCCCUGACGCUGUGAAGCAGCAGCUCUACCA